rnacentral:rRNA from 1 species
UACGUAGGUGGCAAGCGUUAUCCGGAAUUAUUGGGCGUAAAGAGCGCGUAGGUGGUUGAUUAAGUCUGAUGUGAAAGCCCACGGCUUAACCGUGGAGGGUCAUUGGAAACUGGUCGACUUGAGUGCAGAAGAGGGAAGUGGAAUUCCAUGUGUAGCGGUGAAAUGCGUAGAUAUAUGGAGGAACACCAGUGGCGAAGGCGACUCUCUGGUCUGUAACUGACGCUGAGGCUCGAAAGCGUGGGGAGCAAACAGGAUUAGAUA